UACGUAGGGGGCAAGCGUUGUCCGGAAUCAUUGGGCGUAAAGAGCGCGUAGGCGGCCCAGUAAGUCCGCUCUGAAAGUCAGGGGCUCAACCCCUGGAUGCGGGUGGAUACUGCUGGGCUAGAGUCCGGAAGAGGUGAGUGGAAUUCCUGGUGUAGCGGUGGAAUGCGCAGAUAUCAGGAGGAACACCAAUAGCGAAGGCAGCUCGCUGGGACGGUACUGACGCUAAGGCGCGAAAGCGUGGGGAGCGAACAGG
rnacentral:rRNA from 1 species